rnacentral:rRNA from 1 species
CAAUAGCGUAUAUUUAAGUUGUUGCAGUUAAAAAGCUCGUAGUCGGAUUUUGGCUGAGAACGAUCGGUCCGCCGUUAGGUGUGCACUGAUUGGUCUCAGCUUCCUGGUGAGGAGGUGUGCUUCACGGCCACUUAGUCACCGUGGUUACUUUGAAAAAAUUAGAGUGUUCAAAGCGGGCUUACGCUUGAAUAUAUUAGCAUGGAAUAACACCAUAGGACUCCUGUCCUAUUUCGUUGGUCUCGGGACGGGAGUAAUGAUUAAGAGGAACAGUUGGGGGCAUUCGUAUUUCAUUGUCAGAGGUGAAAUUCCUGGAUUUAUGAAAGACGAACUUCUGCGAAAGCAUUUGCCAAGGAUGUUUUCAUUGA